GGACCGUGGGGCCGAGGUGGCUGCCAGCCGGCCAAUGUCUAAGCGAGGCGGAGCGGCCCAGGCGGCCCGAGCCUGGGGGAGCGCGCAGCCGGCCAGUGGCGGCCUCGCCGGCGGCCUCUUCCCGGGCUCGCAGUAGGCCCGAGUCGUCGCCGGGAGCUCCUGGGAGCAGCGUCCCCGCCCUGCUCCCCUCGCUCCCGCCUCUUGCGGCCCCACGGCCCCUCAGCGCCCGCCCCCGGCUCCGCCCGCCGCAGCCGCAGCCCCUGGCGCUAACGGUCGGUAACGGCCCGCGCGCGCCGCCCGCCGGGGGCUCGCGCCAGCCACGAGGGAGCGUCCGCGGCCCGCGCGCCCGCGCGGCGGAGGAGAGGUGUUAAGUGUGAUGCUUCCAUAAUACAUUUGGAUGCUGUCAGCUAAGUUCACUUCUGAACUAAGGGGUUCCUCCAAAUGUUGGCUGAAAUUCAUCCCAAGGCUGGUCUGCAAAGUCUGCAAUUCAUAAUGGAGCUACUGUACUGGCUAUUGGAAGGAGGAGAUUCUGAAGAUAAGGAGGUAAAACCUGUUUAGAAAUUAAAAAUGAGUUACGAUUUAAAGAAAAUUCAGAUGACUCAUUGUGAGUGCUAGUUCUCUUGUAGGAUGCCACUGGAAAUGUUGAAAUGAAAAAUGUAAGUAUAUCUUUUGGUGGAAAAAAGGAUAGUCUCUAGGACACAAAAUUACUGUUUUAUUUUUUUCUCAGGAGUUUGCCUAAGGGUGUGACAGAUGAUCUCUGUCACUUGUCUUAGUUGUGUCCUGCAAUAAACUGGAUGCUUUAUAAAAUACUAGACCUGUGAUUUCGUAUGCUGUAAUAUUUCAUUUCUCCAUCACCCCUCCAAAUUAUUUCUUAGUUUGGAGUAAAAUAAUAAAUGUAUUAUAGUCAACAUCUCUUGACCCCUCUUUAGUUUCAGCUAAACUAAGCAUGUGUGUUUGUGUGUUCAUUUUAUAGUUCAUGUGUAGAACUAUGUGAAUUAAAUUUAAGAAACAUGUAAAGUAGAG
rnacentral:lncRNA from 10 species